GCCCGCAGCCCCACGCCGCCGGCACCACCACCAGCAGCAGCAGGAGCAGACAGAACCGUAGUCGGGGCCGGAGCCAGGCUGCCAGCAUUAAAACUGGAUAACUGAGAUAUGCCACUCUGGAGGCACCAAUGGUCUGGACAUCUCAACCUCAUCCUCAGGACUGAACAGCAGUGACAGCCUCGUCAGGGAACGGCACACAUGAGUCCUGAGCUUUCUGGCAAAGCUGCUUUCUUCUUUCACCUUUAGAUCUCAUCUACCCCUCAGUCACCUCUAUUUUGGAAAAGAACAAAUAAAAAGCUAUUGCUUCAGAAA